GACGAGGGGUCCAAGCGUUGUUCGGAAUCAUUGGGCGUAAAGCGGGUGUAGGUGGCUCUAUAAGUCAGGAGUGAAAGCCCCAAGCUUAACUUGGGAAGUGCUUUUGAUACUGCAGAGCUUGAAUGUGGGAGAGGUUAAUAGAAUUCCAGGUGUAGUGGUGAAAUACGUAGAUAUCCGGAGGAACACCGGUGGCGAAGGCGGCUUCCUGGACCGACACUGACGCUGAGGCGCGAAAGCUAGGGGAGCAAACGGG
rnacentral:rRNA from 1 species